GAUGAACGCUGGCGGCGUGCCUAAUACAUGCCAGUCGAGCGAACAGACGAGGAGCUUGCUCCUCUGACGUUAGCGGCGGACGGGUGAGUAACACGUGGAUAACCUACCUAUAAGACUGGGAUAACUUCGGGAAACCGGAGCUAAUACCGGAUAAUAUAUUGAACCGCAUGGUUCAAUAGUGAAAGACGGUUUUGCUGUCACUUAUAGAUGGAUCCGCGCCGCAUUAGCUAGUUGGUAAGGUAACGGCUUACCAAGGCAACGAUGCGUAGCCGACCUGAGAGGGUGAUCGGCCACACUGGAACUGAGACACGGUCCAGACUCCUACGGGAGGCAGCAGUAGGGAAUCUUCCGCAAUGGGCGAAAGCCUGACGGAGCAACGCCGCGUGAGUGAUGAAGGUCUUCGGAUCGUAAAACUCUGUUAUAGGGAAGAACAAAUGUGUAAGUAACUAUGCACGUCUUGACGGUACCUAAUCAGAAAGCCACGGCUAACUACGUG
rnacentral:rRNA from 1 species